rnacentral:rRNA from 1 species
GAUUGAACGCUGGCGGCAGGCCUAACACAUGCAAGUCGAGCGGUAGAGAGAAGCUUGCUUCUCUUGAGAGCGGCGGACGGGUGAGUAAUGCCUAGGAAUCUGCCUGGUAGUGGGGGAUAACGCUCGGAAACGGACGCUAAUACCGCAUACGUCCUACGGGAGAAAGCAGGGGACCUUCGGGCCUUGCGCUAUCAGAUGAGCCUAGGUCGGAUUAGCUAGUUGGUGAGGUAAUGGCUCACCAAGGCGACGAUCCGUAACUGGUCUGAGAGGAUGAUCAGUCACACUGGAACUGAGACACGGUCCAGACUCCUACGGGAGGCAGCAGUGGGGAAUAUUGGACAAUGGGCGAAAGCCUGAUCCAGCCAUGCCGCGUGUGUGAAGAAGGUCUUCGGAUUGUAAAGCACUUUAAGUUGGGAGGAAGGGCAUUAACCUAAUACGUUGGUGUCUUGACGUUACCGACAGAAUAAGCACCGGCUAACUCUGUGCCAGCAGCCGCGGUAAUACAGAGGGUGCAAGCGUUAAUCGGAAUUACUGGGCGUAAAGCGCGCGUAGGUGGUUUGUUAAGUUGGAUGUGAAAUCCCCGGGCUCAACCUGGGAACUGCAUUCAAAACUGACAAGCUAGAGUAUGGUAGAGGGUGGUGGAAUUUCCUGUGUAGCGGUGAAAUGCGUAGAUAUAGGAAGGAACACCAGUGGCGAAGGCGACCACCUGGACUGAUACUGACACUGAGGUGCGAAAGCGUGGGGAGCAAACAGGAUUAGAUACCCUGGUAGUCCACGCCGUAAACGAUGUCAACUAGCCGUUGGGAGCCUUGAGCUCUUAGUGGCGCAGCUAACGCAUUAAGUUGACC